AAAGAAAAAAAGAAAAAGAAAAGGAAAAAGGUUCAGAGAGGUUAAGGAUGUGCUUAAGGUCACACAGCAAAUUCCAAAGUUAUUUAUGCAAGCGCAGCCUGCUUUGGGUGGAGGGAGGGAGGCGACGAACUGGUUAAAAGUUAGCACCAGAGGAGAAAACACAGAGGCAAACGAAAAGAGCCAUUCCACAGAGAGUGGAAUUAGGCUCCGCACAGGGACUUUUGCUCAAACUCGAGGGACUAAGGCUCUCUCUCUCUUCUGGGACUAGUCAACAGAGGACAGAGGAGCCUGGAGUGACCAGAGGCCACCAGGGGAAGGGCACCCACGAGAGAGAAGGCAGCACCGAGCUCCAGCUGGACUUCUGUCGUUUGCAAAUGAAGGGGCCCUGACUCAUCGAGACAGGAUGCUGUGGCGCUUCGACCUUCAACGGGCCCACCGUCAGCCACUUACGUGUGUCGUGCCCUGCCAUGCACUCCACGUACGUUUGGUCCUUACUGUGACCCGAGUGGGGAAACUGAGGCACAGAGAAGUUGAAUGGUCUGCCCAAGAUCACGCAGCUGGGAAUCCUCCACGGGACAGGACUCUGAAUUAGGCCGGUCGUGGCCCAAGUCUGGGGGUGCCGUAUAUGCGCCCAUUUGAAACAGAGGCAGCGUUAACCAACCCCCCCCCAACCUUAAAUCCCGGGGAGAGAAAGGCAUUUUCUUCUCAAUUCUGAUUCUGGUUACAGAGAAAGGCUCUGUGGGACUGCGACACGUAGUUGCCUUUGAAAUGACUUUCCUUGUAAAAAGGAAAUCAUUUUAAAGAAAAGUAACAAGAGACUUGGUUUGGGCAGUUUAUGGAUGUGGUAAGAGUCCUACAUGUGGAUUCGGAAUCGAGUCUUAGGAACCCCAGAGGGACCGAGAACGCUUUCCUGGCUCUGCCGACGUCCCUCCCAGCCAGGCAGAGCUCUCAACCGCCUGCCCAAACCACGUGGCCAGUCAGCGGCGGAUCUGGGACCCCAGCGGCCACCGCAUGGGCUAUAGGGAUGAUCAAAGGGCCACCAGAGCCCCAGAGACCGUCCAGUCCUUCAGAGAUCCUGGGAGCAAGCCGUAGAAAGUAUCCGGGGCUGUCUGAUUCAGAGACUCCGCAGAUGGAGGGCCAGGCCCAGAGGAUCAUGCGAGAGGGCCGAAGUGGGCUCAAAAGACCAGCAGGAAGUGAGGGGACGGUCCUGCCGAGCAGGUGCCCGCCGUGUCCAGACACACCCAGCCCAGGCAGCAAGCCAUUGGCUUGAGCCCCAGCCGUCCUCCCCCGUCCCGGGCCUCAUGCCCAAGAGGGGGGGAGGAGGUCCUCCGCGUAAAGGAAGUGAGCCCCCCCCCCCCCCCGCAAGCCACACGUAGUAAGUAAGGGCCUCCAGACCCCUGACCCCGGAGCCAGGAGCCCCUCUCCUCCAGGCCUGACUUCUGCUCAGCCCUGCGCUUGCUUGGAGCUCCUUCCCCACUCUGGGCCUCAGUACACCCCUCUGCCGAGUGGGGGUGAUGGCGCCCAAGCAGAUCAGUGGCUUUUAAAUCACGCCAGGGGGCUAAUUCAGAGAUCCAGCAGCCAGUGGGUGUGUGGAGACAAAUACGAGACUUUGAGGACCUCUGUCGACCCAGGCUUUCUCUAGGACAAUACCGUUUCGCGUCCUGAUGCGUUUUUUGCAGCCUGAAAGAGAGUGACACAUGUGAACUCACAAAACAAGUUUAUGCUGAUAAAAGACUGGGUUUUAUCUGUUUCGUGCACACGGGGCUGCUGGUGGCACGCCAGCCAUCCUCCCCGGCCGGCUCCUGAGUCAGGCCUUCCUGCUCUCGCCCCGCUGCGAGCCAGCCACGCAGGCCCCUGUCUCCAGGCCUUGGCACCACUCUCCCUCCUCCUGGAGCUCUCUCCCGUCCUCACAGGCCCCGGAUCUUCUGACGCUGGGAUCUCAGAUGAAGUUCCCCUUCUCAGAGCCCUUCCGGUCUGCCCCAUGCUGCGAGCUCCCCACUCAUCUCUGUCGCUCCGGGGCCUGGAGCUUGGCGUGCGGUCGGCGCCUGGGAGGUGUUGAGUGAAGCAAGUAAGAGACAGCUCGAGCGGAGCAUGUCAGCCCCCCCCCCCCCCCCCGUGAUGAGCUCCCCACGGUUCUUGCAGUCCCAGCAAAGAAUACCUGCCCGGCCCCCCGGGGAAGCACUGUCUAAAGGAGAGAUUGCAAACUGGUGGCCCACCGCAGUGUUUAAUUUUUUUUUUUUAUUGUGGUAAACACACACACACACACACACACACACAGACAUGACACAAAAUUCACCCUCCAAUCAUUUCUCAGGGUACAGUCGAAUAGCGUGAAGUGUAUUCACAUCGUUGGGCAACAGAUCUCCAGAACGUUUUCUUCUUGCAAAACUCCAGCUCUGUACCCAUUAAACAGCACCUCCCCGGGCCCCCCUCCCCCCAGCCCCUGGCAAACACCGUUCUACUUUCUGUUUCUAUGCAUUUGAAUACUUGACGUGCCUCGUAUCAUGGGAAUCAUAUGCUAUUUGUCUUUUUGUGACAGAAAGCUCAGCGUGUCCCCAAGGCUCAUCCGUGUGGUGGCACGUGACAUGAUUUCCUAACUUGUUAAGGCUGCAUAAUAUCCCGUUGAAUAUAUAUAUAUACACACCACGUUUUCUUCAUCCGUUCAUACUUUCGUGGACUCAAAGCCCGCUUCUCCGUCUCGGCUAUUGGGAACAUAAUGCUGAUAUGAACACGAAUGUGCAAAUGUCUCUUUGAGAUUCUGUUUCCGUUCUUCCGGGUGUAUGCCCAAAGUGGAAUUGCUGGAUCAUUUAAAAAAAAUUUUUUUUUAAAACCUGCAUGCUAUUUUCCAUAACAGCUGCACGAUUUUACAUUCCUACCGGCAGGGCGGAAGGGUUCCAAUUCCUCUGCAUCCUUGUCACCGCUUGUUAUUUGCUAUUUUUUUUAGAGCAGUCAUCUUCGUGUCGAUGAGGGGAUAGCUCAUUGUGGUUUUAAUUUGCAUUUCCCUCAUUAUUAGUGAU